UUCAUAGGAAUGAGAAAAACUGACCUUUGGGCAGUGAAUUCCACUUAGUUAUUACAUCAAGGAUGAAUUUGGCAAAGUGGAAUUUAUAAUGGGCAGUCCAGGAGUUUAACAGUCUACUGGAGUUUGCAGUCUACUGUUGACUGAAUGAUCGAACGGCUCCGUGGUGGAAGAGAGUCCUUCAAAGGAAAAAAAAAUCCACGGGGCUUUGGCAUCCGCCUCGAAAACGACUGCCGGUCAACCCAGCGUCUUGGCUCUCUUUGAAGUCUCCCGGAAUCGGUCGGCUUUUAGGCAAUAGCAAGAUUUGGACUUGAACCCACUUCACUAUCAAUAUGAAAUGAUUUGUUGCCAGUUGAAAGAGGCUUCAUCCUCUCCAUUCUUCUUUCAUUUACAUUUUAUACCCUCAUCAAAUCGUGGAUCAACAAUAUAAUAGUUUUUUGUUCGAUUCCAUGUCCACUGCAAAGCCCAUCUAAGGCUUGGCAUUCCCAGGAGCCUUGUCUUCCCAAGUAGAACUAUUUUCUUUCUGCUGCUCCCGUAUCAACAGGCGUUUUAAAACCGAAAUAUUUUCUGCGUUUCCUGACUGUUCUAUGUAGUUGAAAUGCGUAUCGGAUUUUACCGGGGCAGACUCUUGUCUCCGAAGUUUCAAUCUAUUCUGAAUGACACUGUUCUUUAAUGAAACUGUUGCUGAAAGUCUUCGCGGCAAACAAGUAAACACAACGAACAUUAACGUGCGUGAGCAAGAUAAAUGCUUUGGCAGUUUCCAAUGGUUGGUGACAGCGUGUUGCACCCACAGCAGGCUGACAUGUUUUCGUUUCCUCUCUUAAACCAAGCUGUUGUUAUCAAUUUGAGCGUCAGCUGCUGAGUGAAACUUCCGUCAGCUAGAACAUCAGCAAACGAGCAGCUCUCUGGCUCUUGUGAACUACGGCAUGGGAAGCCUAAGGUAUUACAGGGAAAUCAGAAAAAAAAAAUCAUUUUGAGGCAGAAAGCCAAUAAAUUUUAUGGCUAACGUUAGUAGAAUAAGCAUUUUGUUUGCUCCCAUAAAGCUCAUCACACACUUAUACGAUCUGUGGUAAAUUAAUUUUAUUGCCAAAACA